UUGAGAUCUCACGCGGAAACU
rnacentral:piRNA from 1 species